GACGAACGCUGGCGGCGUGCCUAACACAUGCAAGUCGAGGGGCAGCAUGGUCUUAGCUUGCUAAGGCCGAUGGCGACCGGCGCACGGGUGAGUAACACGUAUCCAACCUGCCGUCUACUCUUGGACAGCCUUCUGAAAGGAAGAUUAAUACAAGAUGGCAUCAUGAGUCCGCAUGUUCACAUGAUUAAAGGUAUUCCGGUAGACGAUGGGGAUGCGUUCCAUUAGAUAGUAGGCGGGGUAACGGCCCACCUAGUCUUCGAUGGAUAGGGGUUCUGAGAGGAAGGUCCCCCACAUUGGAACUGAGACACGGUCCAA
rnacentral:rRNA from 1 species